GUAACAUAUAAUUAUAGACUAAUGAUUUGUUUAGCAGCAUUAGUUUUUUUCUGAAGUUUAUGGUGGACAUUUCUGGCAGACUGGAUCAAAUGGAGGAAACAUUGGCAGCCACAGAAAUGUACCUGAAGGAGACGAUAUUAAAUAUAAUGGCAGACUUUGAAAAUAUGAUGAUUGUUGCUCAGAGAUUUCCUUCUUUUGAAACUAACUGGUAAGAGUCCUCAAGAGUGUAGAAGGAAAGGAUCUGAACACACUUUUGUGUAAUAUGCUGCGACGAUUGGUGGGCGAUGAGGUGGCCGAAGUGUGCAAUCUCUGUGGAACCUCAACAAUAGAAACAUGUCAAAGGGUCUAUAAAGACAUUACUGACCAUGAAAUGAGAAGAUGCAUAGGGGAUAGCUUCACCAAUCCCACACAAGAAUUGUUUGUGGUCACAGGCCGGUGCCAAAUUCAAGAUCAUAGAACAGAUACAGAUGGACAUCAGCUUAUAUUUUUGUUGUUCUGUCAACAUUAUUGUGCAUCUGCAUUAUACUUGUACCCUAGGCCUAUACUAUAAGUUAUUCUCUGGUUUAUUACAAGGUCAUAUUUAAAAUGUUUUAAUACCUGGAACAUUUGAAGCCUAAUAAAAGUUUAAAUUACUUUUGUAAGAGUCAA